UCUAGGACACAUUAUGAUGACAAAAUGCUUCCAGCUCUAGUAUUCUAUAGUUCUAUGAUUUCAGUUUCUUGUUGGUAGGUACAGGUGUUACCUAUAGACAUGUAACAUGAUAGUCAUUCAUUCAUGGACUUACCCUGGUAACAUUUCCAUUUUACCUAGGACUCAAAUAAGGAAUCAGAGGAUACUGCUCAUAGCAUCUUUUGGCAUCACUUUGUGAUGAUAGACCCAAAGACAGAGCUCACUCAGUCAAACCAAAUCUCAAGUGUAUGCGGUGAGGAUAUGACUUUAGAAGUGUGACACUUUGGGGUGACACUUCCUGAGUUGGACCUAUGCCCACCCCUACUAAGCUUGUGAAUCUGAUUCAGAGAAAGGCUGCCAACCAAGUACAAUGUAGCAGAAGAUUAAGAUGGUGAAUACAAAGUUUCUGUCACAUAUAUGACAAAAGGAAUAAAACAACAAAUAGUCAACCUCUAUGGACAUGUUACAUUUUAUCAUAAAAAUGUUUCAAAAUCAUCACUUGCUUUUAGUAUUUGACCUGUGUGAAUUUUUCCUACUCAUUUAUUACCUUUACCUCCACCUCGGAGAAUAACUUCUCCAAGUGUCAAAACCAUCUUGUUUGUUGAUGUUUUAUACACUGCAGACAGUAAAGAGUACAAGGCAUUAAACUAAUGAAGUUAAAUGAACUUAAAAUCUUUUCUACUGGCAGUUGAGUCAUUCUAUGAUCUUCCUAAGAAGAACUAUUGUUGAAAAGUUUGAGAAAAUCAACAUCUUUUCAUUUAUUGUAAGAUGCAAACAUCAUAUUGAUUGGUACUUGGGUGAUGCCGUUUAGGGAAGUUAAGAAGUUAUCAUCUAUGUGCAGCCCUGGACAAUCAGAGGUCAAAUAUCAAAGCAUUCAGCACAAUGACUCAUUCCUUUACUAAAGUCACUAAAUUCUAAGAAGCUAUGAUAAUAACUGACAUCACAGUGGGCCAUCUUACUGUUUAUUAAGAAACUAUGAAACUCCCUCAAUGAUCUUCUCUUUCUUCUGAUUUGUAUAAAAACUCUAGUGAUAAAUUCUGGAGUAUAUGUUAGAA